AGAGUUUGAUCAUGGCUCAGGAUGAACGCUAGCGGCAGGCCUAAUACAUGCAAGUCGAGGGGCAGCAGGGUAGCAAUAUCGCUGGCGACCGGCGCACGGGUGCGUAACACGUAUACAAUCUGCCUUUAACAGGGGGAUAGCCCGGAGAAAUCCGGAUUAAUACCCCAUAACACAGAGAACGGCAUCGUUUUUUGUUAAAAGCUCCGGCGGUUAGAGAUGAGUAUGCGUCUGAUUAGCUAGUUGGUGAGGUAACGGCUCACCAAGGCGACGAUCAGUAGGGGAUCUGAGAGGAUUAACCCCCACACGGAUACUGAGACACGGAUCCGACUCCUACGGGAGGCAGCAGUAAGGAAUAUUGGACAAUGCCCGCAAGGGUGAUCCAGCCAUGCCGCGUGCAGGAAGACGGCCCUAUGGGUUGUAAACUGCUUUUACACCGGAGAAAACCCCCCUACGUGUAGGGGGCUGAUAGUAUGGUGAGAAUAAGCAUCGGCUAACUUCGUGCCAGCAGCCGCGGUAAGACGAAGGAUGCAAGCGUUAUCCGGAUUCAUUGGGUUUAAAGGGAGCGUAGGUGGCCUUAUAAGUCAGUGGUGAAAUCUCUGGGCUUAACCCAGAAAUUGCCAUUGAUACUGUAGGGCUUGAGUACAGUUGCUGUGGGCGGAAUAUGACAUGUAGUGGUGAAAUACAUAGAGAUGUCAUAGAACACCGAUUGCGAAGGCAGCUCACAAAACUGUAACUGACACUGAGGCUCGAAAGUGCGGGGAUCAAACAGGAUUAGAUACCCUAGUAGUCC
rnacentral:rRNA from 1 species